CUCCUGGGACCCGAUGGAGUCCGGGAAGGGGAAACUGUGUACACGCCGUCUCUAUGCUCACGCCCCAUAGAAAGCUAAAGAUCUGGCUUCAUUGUCCACCAGGAGUGCCAGCGCUCUGAACCGGCUAGCCGUGUGACCACUGAAGCAGUAUCACCUCCUAAGCCCACAUUCCUCCUGGAUGGGGUCCAGUCACCUACAGUUAACGAGGACAAGCACGACGGUGUUUUUAGUAUGCAUGGGUAGCCAAGCGAUCCAGAUGCCAGGAGAAACCCGAGGAGCUCAGGGGGUCCGCCCACUCUGCCAUGGCCCCUGCCUAAAAUCCACGCUUCCAGGCUCAGAGAAGAAGUAAACUUUAAAGAAACAGAGGAGUCUGCGGACAGGGGAAUGAACACAUGUCCAGGCUCCCGGUGCUAUCAGUGGUGAAGAUGUGAUAUCCGGAAUUGCAGCAGCCAUGCUGAACCCCAGAGGAUGAGGCCAACAGGUGAGGGUGGCUGAGAAGAACAGCAAGAAUCUAAGUCCUUAAUGAUGUCACUGUCCUACCCAGGUGCCAUAGUUUGGA